CUCAUGGUCAUUUAAAUCCCUCUGCAUGGUUGUGAGUCUGCUCAGUAACCUCGCUGAAUUUUCUACACCCAACAUACAAAUAAUUUAAUAUUUUUUAUUACUUUAGUCUAUCACAGUAUAUCAAUGCCAAACUAGAGGAAAAGGGAUGUGGCAUCAUCGAAGGUCUACAGGAAUAUAUAUCGGACGAUAUCAAAGUGGAACAUGCCGUGGAAGCUUGGAAAGUUGCCUGCCAGAAAAGCGAGGAUUACCACUCAAGAAUGUAGCAGUAGCUUGUAGAGAUUUUUUUAAAGAAUUUAUAAUUUUUAUGUGAAUCCCUUACAUCGGAUUAAAAAUCGUGGAUUUAGCGAGAAAGCUUAUUUUAACGUAUAAUUCCAAAACCUAAUUAUUUAAUAUAUUUUGCAUGGAUUAAUUUUGUGAAAAUACAUUUUGAUCACUUUUCCCAUUGAUACUACUGGAAAUACCAAAUAAUUGUAUAAUUGCAGGUUUGCAUUUGAUUACGAAAUUUUUGAGUCUCAGCAUCUUAAGGCGACUGCGAGAUAUAGUAGAUUAUCAAACGUAUAUAUACCUAUCGAUAAUCCAACCCCACUUUGACUACUGCUCUCAAGUCCAAUAUACUAAAAUAAAUCAUGAUAUAAAAUAAAAAAUGAGGAUCUGGAUUUUCGAGUUAAAUUACUUUCAACCAAAAAUAUCCGCCAUUUUGAAACGUCAUUGUGGUUAUAUCAACGGGUGUUAGGAGUAACGUUUUUAAAACUCCGAACUCUUUAGAUAUUGUUUUAUUUAAGUCAGAUACUCUUUGUUUUUCAACAAAUAAUCAUUGUACGGUAUGUUAUACCGAGCGACCAAUAACACAACAUAAUAUAACACUUGCAGAUUAACUAUAGUUUGUUCGAUGGUGAAUUAAUAUAGAGUUUGUUUAUGACAUUCAGUAUAUAUUUCAUAAUUUCCAAUCUUCACUGCAACAAUUUAUGUGUACGUAAGUCUUUGCAUCCACAGAAACACAUUUAU